AGCAGCCGCGGUAAUUCCAGCUCCAAUAGCGUAUAUUAAAGUUGUUGCAGUUAAAAAGCUCGUAGUUGAAUUUCGGGGUUCAUCCGUUGGUCGGGCUUUUUGGUCUGUACUGGCGUGAUGGAUUCCUACCUUCUGAAUAACCGGCAUGUCAUUAAUUUGGUGCGCCGGGGAAGCAGGACUGUUACCUUGAAAAAAUUAGAGUGCUUAAAGCAGGCUAUCGCCUGAAUACAUUAGCAUGGAAUAAUGAAAUAGGACGGCAUGGUUCUAUUUUGUGGUUUCUAGGAUCAACGUAAUGAUUAAUAGGGAUAGUUGGGGGCAUUAGUAUUCAAUUGUCAGAGGUGAAAUUCUUGGAUUUAUUGAAGACUAACUACUGCGAAAGCAUUUGCCAAGGAUGUUUUCAUUAAUCAAGAACGAAAGUUAGGGGGAUCGAAGACGAUCAGAUACCGUCGUAGUCUUAACCAUAAACUAUGCCGACUAGGGAUCGGACGAUGUUAAUUUUUUAAUGACUCGUUCGGCGCC
rnacentral:rRNA from 1 species